rnacentral:lncRNA from 1 species
CUCCUGACGCUCUCAGAGUCUGGCCUUCUGCUGGGCCCCGGGUCUCUCACUGGCAGAAUGGAGUUCUCGGAGCUGAUCCAUACGGGCUGAGCCCAAGCAGAGUUUCUACGGGGCCCGGAGGCGCCCCCGCUUCGCGGCACGGUGUGAGUCACCGUCCACCACCUGCUCCUGUCGCCAGGGCCCGCGUCCUCUCCGGACCUGUGGCUGCUGCUGUUGCGUAGCGUCGACUCCUUCGAGAAGCAGAACGUCCCUCCCCAGGGUUGCGAGUGACUCGGGCACCAUCACCCUGUGCUGUAAAGACCUGCGAGUGCUGCAGCUGGAAAUAGAGGGCGCGGAAGCGACGCUGGGCAUCGCCCGCUCCAUCGAGGGCCUGAGAUUGGGCGACUCCUGGCACUUCCUCCCGCCCGAACUCUACUGCAAGAGAGUAGCUCGCGAAGUGGGCGCGGUCGUAGGGGCCCGGGAAGGUGGAAGCGCCGGGCCUGGAAGAGGCGCGGGGACAGGGCACUCCCUGGGUGCCCUAGACCUGGCCUCUCUCCUCCCUGCGCUGCAGACCAACGCGUGGCGGCUGAGCGAGGUUCUGCUACGCUCCAGCCAGCCCCUAACUGGUCCCCAGAAGCGGCGCUGCUACAGGGACCAGGAGCUGCUGCGAACUGCGCUGGCGGGGGCUCGUCCUUGGGCGCGGGGCUUCAUCAUGGACACGCUCUCGGCCCAGGCCGCGAAACAAGCCCGCGUGACUGGCGGAGGCACAGAGACCAAGGCCGCUUAACCUGGCUGGUUGCACUGGUCCCUGGAGAGAGGGCGUCCCCUGCAGGAGAGCUUCAUGCGCCUGGUGGAGGCCUGUGGGGACUCGGAGCAAAGCAUGGACAACUGGCUGAGUCGGCUGGACGGCUGCCGCUGACUGUAACAUGUAAAGCAGGCACUGAGCACCACCUGCCUGGCAGUCCAGGGCAUGGAGAGGCACAGACAGCACCCUGCUUGUGACUUCACUGGCCCAACUCAUCCUGGACCCCUUGAGCAAGACCAUGGCUGGAUUCCAGGAACUGGUGGAGUGGAAGUGGAUCCAGGAAAAUGCCGUGUGAAGGGAGGACUCAGAUGCACUCCCUGUGGUCUGGGCUCAACCAGCCAAAAGAGCAACAAAGACUCCAGAACCCACUCUACCUCCUCAAUCCCUUGGCCAUCUGUGGAGCCCCAGAGCCUGCGGCUGUGGCAAGGCCUGUUUCUGCGCUGGACCUGCUCACCUGAGCCUGCAGAAGCUGCAUGGGGGAAGAGUGUGGCAAAUAGUGACAGGAAGGGAGAAGACAGAAGCCUCUCAGCCAACUGCUUCAGCCGAGCCCCUAUUCUAAGCACUGGCUCCUUGGAUAGCAGCUGAGAUGUUCCUGAAACCUCUGCAGGCCCCUUAGGACCUUUACACCUUGGAUGAGGGUGCCUGCAACCCAGGUUAGCCAAAAGUACUGAGGGUCUUAAGUUUGAAGUGUCCAAAGUAUAGGGAGGUCUCAAUAAUAAAAGUCUCCAUGAUCAGCA